rnacentral:lncRNA from 1 species
CCAAAAUCCAUCCCAAACCCCCCCAAAAUCCAUCCCAAACACCCCCAAAUCCACCCAAACCCUCCUGAAAACCCCCGGAAAUGCACCCAAAAUCCUCCCAAAACCCCCCAAAAUGCCCCCAAAUCCCCCCAAAUCCCCCCAAAUCCCCCCCCCGACCCCCUGACCUCCUUUGGGGGCUCUCCAGGGCCGCUCCCGGCGCAGGAGCCCCGAGGCGGCCGCCAGCCCCCCCAAAUCGGCCACGCGGACCUCGGCCACCAACUCCAGCUCCUCGUCUUCGGGGGACCCCUCCCCGCUGCAGCGCUGCAGCCGGGGGGGCUUGUGGGGGGGGUCUGGGGACAGAGGGGACACGGUCAGAGGGGGGGGACAGCGGGGACACCCCAGGGGACACCAGGUGACAUUGGGGACAACCCAGGGGACAUUUGGGGACACCCCAGGGGACACCAGGGGACAUUGGGGACACCCCCAGGUGACAUCAGGGACACCCCCAGGUGACAUCGGGGACACCCCAGGUGACAUCGGGGACACCCACAGGUGACAUUUGGGACCCCCCAGGUGACAUUGGGGACACCCACAGAUGACAUUUG